CCUCCUGAGUGCUGGGAUUAAAGGCGUGUGCCACCAAUGCCCAGCUCAAAUAAGAGAUCUCAAACCCACCUCCACAGUGGUAGACUUCUUCCAAAAAUGCCACCCCACUCCAUAAGGCCCCAACUCCCAAUAGUGCCCCUCUCUAUGGGCCAAGUAUUCAAAUACAUGAGUCUAUGGAGGCCAUACAUAAUGAAACCACCACAGCACCUUUCAUGUUGUCUGAGUGCAAAUACUUGUCUUCAUUGUAAUGGGGAAGAGAAUGGAGACAAGGUUUAUAGUCUGACCUGGCUUCCUGCCUAAUGUCUACUUCCUGGUCUACCUAGCUGUGAGUAUAGCAAUCUUGUGUUCCUUGUGGAACAGCCAAUAGCUACACUUUUGGCCAUGCCUUCCCAGCCAUGAUGGGCUGUCCCUUCAAAGUGUGAAUGAGAACAAACCCUUCCUUUCUUAAGUUGCUUUUCUUUAGCUCACAGUGACCAGAAAUGCCGAUAAACUGUGAAGCCCUUCAGUCACUGCCUGGUAUUCUUCUAGCAACUGCCAUGAUGAGGUUCCACCAAAACCUAAAACAUUUUCAGAAGGGGAGCCAGCCAGAAAAGUCUCUGCAAGAAACACUUUGUAUGCUAGUAGUGGGGUUAUAUUACAUCCCUAAACUAGAAAACAAAUGAACAAGUAAUUAGCAAAGGCUGAUGCAGUUUUCCAUUAUGGUUUUUGAAGUGAAAACUGAGGCAGUCAAGUUCAAUGUCUCUCAUUCUGUUCUCCACUGAAGAAAAUGCUUGUUGAAAUUUACCAACUAAAUCUCAACAGCUCUUGUCACUCAAGUAGCAUUUCCAUUUCCAACUGAUUCUUGGAACCGGGGAAUUGUCAUGCAGAUGGGAUUGUUUGGUGAAGACUUAAUGUGUUUUCCUUUUAGAAGCUCUCCCUGAGGAAUUUCACAAGAACCAACAGUUACACUAAGCUUAAAUGAGUUGUUAGUAUUCAGACCACUUCUAUGUCUCCAUUCUUUGCUGCCAGGACAUGAACUUAACUUGGCCAUCCCACUCAAUUAAAGGAGGAGAUAGAAGAAUGGUACAAGACAAAUUAACCAGAAUAUUAAUCUGAAGAAAAUGCCACUUGCUCUCUGAUCACAUAUUUCAUGGAAAAUGCUGGAGAGAUUCUUAUCAGUUAAAAGCACAUAUUGUUCUUUCAGAGUACCAAUUUUGACUCCCUAGCAUCCAAGUCAGGGUGUUCAUAAUCACCUAUAACUCCAGCUCAAGGGAAUCUGAUAACCUGGUUUUCACAGACACCUGUACUCAAGUAUACCUUUGCCCUCAUCCCAGAUAUAAUAAAAAUAAAAGAAAUCAGAAAAAAUUAUCUUAAAUACAUUUAGAAACUCACCAAACUUUCUCAGUUAGAUGUUUGCUUGCAAACAUGUUCAAAAAUACUGAUGGGUCCACACAGCCAAAAUCUUUAAAUGGCAUCAAUGAUAUCAUUUUCAAGAAGCCUAUGUGGUUACAUUCAGUCUUCGUCCAUGUGAACAGACAACCCACCAGAAAAUAGAACCCUGUGUGCAUCGAUCUUUUGUGAUUAACAUCUGAUAAAGUGAUUUCUUAUAGAAAUGAAAUUGCUGUAUUCAACCUGAGGCUCAUACCACAAUAAAACUCUGUAUACCGAUUAUCCCAUCUCUAACCAUCUGUUCAAUACCUGAGAUGUUUGCCUUACCUCAUAAGACCAAAACUCUACCAAAAGGCCCAAUCCCAUUUAGCUUGUUUCUUGCUACUAUUAUUACAUAGAGGAGCUAUGAUCAAAUCUUAGGGGAAUAACAAGCAAGAAGUAGACACACUUUACCCAAGACACACUGCUGCAAUGAAGCCCAGAGGAAGAGAGCAAUAAGAAAAGGCGUAACUUGCUUACAAAAUAGUGAGCUGGGCAAAAUUUUAUGAAAGAAUGCAGAAUGAGCCUCUGGUUUAGCCAGCAAGGCAUUGGAAUAAGGUGUUAUUCAUUAGAAGGGAACAUGGGGAAGGAUAAGGAACAUGAAUAGACAUUUGAAUGGCCACAUAAAAUCUGCUACUAUAGAAGCUUCCUAAAAUAUAUACAAAUAUAAAAGAAAUCUAAAUGGAGUCACCAAAUAAUGGUGAGACAGAGCCCCAAUGAGAGAUCUUAUACCACUCAUGUGGAAAACACAGUGCCAGGAAUAGGUUUCAUGCAGUCGUGCUAUUUGUCAAAGGGGUCACAUGGAAAUCCCCAAACAUCAUAGGCUACUAUCAAGGUUGUUGGUUGCUCUCUACAAACUGAAGGGACGGCACUACUGCUGAAGAUAAUACUUACACAUCUCAUCAGACACUGAGAAAUUAACCUGGUGCCUAACAAGAGGCUUCUGCUCCACUGAUUAGUGUUAGUGGUACUGGAAGGUCCUCUUCCUGCUGUAAGAGGAGAAAAGUGACCACCAAGACAGCUACAAAUUGGAUCAAUAAUGUCACAAACAUGGUGGUAGCAGCCAACCAUUCUCUAAUGGAAUUUAAGGCCCAUUCCAUGAGGUGGAACCCAUGCCUGACCCUGCUAGUGGCUAAGAACCUGAGACUAGAUAGGACAUGGACUCAAGGGAAAAUGAAAUACUAUUGCUCAGCUAAAGGAACAUAGCCACAAAAUGACUCCUAAGGGCAUCCUGCUGUACCUAUAGAUCAGUGUCUCAGUCAGCCAUCAUCAGAGAAGCUUAUUCUUGCAGUAGAUGGAAAUUAACACAGAGACCCACAGCUGAACAGCAUGCAAAGAGUACGAGCCUUGAGAGAACUCAGAUUUGAAUCCACAAAAUUCUUGCUCUUGGGGACCAGCCAUCUAUGAGGAAGAGGAGGUGGAAAUACUCUAAGAGCCAGUGGGGAUAAAAGACCCCGAAGAAACCAUGCCAUAUAGACACAAGACCGCUGAACAUACAUAUGAACCAAUGGAUACUGUGACAGCAUACAUAAGGCUUACGUGUGUUCAAGCCAGAUGGAUCGCAGCAAUGAGAGGCAGAAGUGGACAUGGAAGCUAUCUGAAAUUGGUAGCUACAGGCAAAAGAAACAUUGGUUUUCUCUAAUGGAGAUUCAUUAGGUUUGUGCUCCUGAGUGAUAACAAAGUAGAAGAUCUCUGCAUGAAUUAAACACAGAAAGAUCACAGGAACACUGAGUUCAACAAGUGGAGGUGGAUAAAAUAACAGUUAAAAUAAGACCCUCCACGUCUUUCCAGAAAUGAGAACAACAGCUUUGUAAAGGUGUCGCACAAAUGCGCAACAGUAAGUGACUAACUGAGCUUCUUAUGCUCUGUGCUACUAAAUUUACAUAUAGAACCUGAGAAACAGUUCCAGAGAUAGUGGCCUAAUUUCAUCUGCUCAAAAAAAAAAAAAUAUGAGGCAUGUGACAUGCUAGGUACUGAGC